ensembl:lncRNA
UGAGUCACACAACCUGGAGAGCACUAGACCACAGUGCUUACCUGAGUCCAGGAUUGACUUGAGGGAGUCCUGAUCACCAGAACGGCAUGCGGAUCCCACCUUUACCAUGUGCUGCCUGGGGGACCCUGGUGAUUACCUCACCAUAGGUCCUGACUAUGCAAACAUCCAACUCCAAGGAGGGUCCUGGUCCUGAGUUGACUUAACCAAAGAAAUAAUAUGUUUAUAACAAUAGUAGGAAGUCAGUAGAUAAUCAUCAUGAUUUCUUACAUGAAAUGCCAGACAACUGAAGGGCACUGCAGUGAUAUCCACAUGGUAUUUAACCAGUCAGUAUUCAGGGAUAACGAUGAUGGGAAUGGAGGAGCGAGAGCUGAUGUGACCAGGGGGUAGGCUGCCGUGCUCUUGUUCUGUUUACACUGAGCACAAAGGUGAUGCAGCAGUACCUGGACACACCAGUUGUUUAAGGGAAAAAGCAGCUGCUGUCUAAUCCAGGGGGCAAAUGACUUGAGUAGACAGUUUGGCAAAGAAGAAAUACAGCGAACAAGCCAAUGAAAAAAUGCUCAAUAUCAUGUCACUAGGAAAAUGCAAACUAAAACCACUAUGACAUAUCCCCACUAAAGCUGGUAAAACCAGAGACUGACCGUACCAAGUAUUAGCAGGGAUGCACAGCAGCAGGGACUCGGGGUGUUGCUGCUGAGAAUGUGAGGGACAGCUUACUUGAAAACGUCUGGUGGUUCCCUCAAAGACACCCUCGCUCUACAACCUAGCAACCCUGUUCCUGGGUACUUACCAAGAGGUUUAAAUGGGACCACUUGUCCACACCGAGACUUGUCCAUGCAGGCUCAUCACAGAUCACUCAGAACAGAGAAAAACUGGUGGAUGGAUUGAGAAUGAAACGCCUCCCAGCAUCUAAUGAUUCACGCAGCAACGUGGGGGCAGCACAAGGGCAGCCGGCCAGGAGCUAACCCAACUGGGAGACCUCAGAGAGGGCGAUGCAGCCAUGAGUGUUGGGCGGCAAAGGACUUCUCUCAACCUUCUUGUUAUGGGGAUUUCUCAAUAAGCCUGCCCCAGGAGAGGACAGCUGUGACUGGACCUGGCCUGGGCUGGGCUGGGGCACCAGGAUGGGGGCAGAGGGCCUCUCUGCUGCUGGCUUUCGACCUCAGUCCGUGUCCCUGCACCUCGGGGCGGGGCUUUCUCGUGGUCCUGCCUCUCCCAGGAGUAGGCUAUCUCCUCGCGUGCCUCCUCACAGGCAGAGGGCCUCUGCUCCUCCAGCCUCACCCUCCAGCCUCGGUCUCCAUCUGUGUUUUCUGCUGCUCCCUCAGUGACUCCAGGCUUUUGUUCUUUAAAGGAGAGCUUUGAGGGCUUUGAGGAAGCUUUCUUGGCUGCCUGCCCUGCCCCGCCCCGUGAGCACGGUGCGGUCCCUGCGGAGGGCCCCGGGGGUCUCGGCACCCACGGCUCUUGCCCUCAGCUGCCCUGCUCCGUGCGUGCCUGCCGCGCUUCACUAGAAGUCUCAGCUCACCUCCUGCCCAGCUCUGCCCCAUGACCCACUCUCCUGCCCUCCUUGGAGGCCUGUCUGUCUUAGAUCUCAGGCAGCUCCUUGAUGGGCUUGGAAUGAUUUUGUAGAUCUGUCUAAACUCCUGUUAGGAUGAGGGUGUGACUCUUUCCAGCUUUCUGCGUCCUAAAUGAAAGCCAGAAUAUCUAGCUUAUGGAUUAAAAAAAAUUGGAAGGUUGAGGGAGUGACAAAAUGUGAACGGCUGGAAAU